CGGUCUCCAUGGCGCUGCUGUAGCGGUGCAGGUGCCUGGGAUCCAGAAUGAGCGCGUCCGAGACAGAUCGCUGGGCGUGGUUGCUGGUGCUGUGCUUCGUGUUCGGGUGCAACGUGCUGCGCAUCCUUCUGCCGACCUUGUCCUCGUUUGGUGGACCAGGCUGGACCAGGCUGGAGUAACUCUCCCUUGAGUGGAGAACAGUGGGCAAUAGAGAGAGAUUUCCAGGGUGCUGCAGAAGGAUGCAGAGCAGGAGUCACAGAUGAGAGCAGAGAUCCAGAGCAUGAAGCAGGAGCUGUCCACCGUCAACAUGAUGGAUGAGUUUGCCAGAUACGCCAGGCUGGAGAGAAAAAUCAACAAAAUGACAGACAAACUCAAAACUCACGUGAAGGCACGGACAGCUCAGUUGGCCAAGAUCAAGUGGUUUAUAAGUGUUGCUUUCUACGUACUACAAGUGAGUGUUGCCUGGUCUCUGCACAGCUGUGGUUCUUUUCCCUUUGUCUGCUUACGUAUGUGCACAUGUGUGUAGGCAUUUUCCUCUGUGUGCUUAUGCACAUGUGUGCACAUGUGUACAGAGGCCAGAGUUGGCUGUGGUGUUUUUUUCUUGAUUACUCUCCGUCUUUUAUCCCAAGGCAGGGUCUCUCACUUAAGCAUAAAACUUGCCACCUGUAAUCUAGUCAGUUUGCUUAGGGCCUGCUAUGGGCGCUGAGACACAGCCUCUGUGGGAUGGCAAGUUCUUUUUUUUUUUUUUUUCUUCUUUUUUUCGGAGCUGGGGACCGAACCCAGGGCCUUGCGCUUGCUAGGCAAGCACUCUACCACUGAGCUAAAUCCCCAACCCUGGCAAGUUCUUUAUCUUCUGAGCCAUUUAUCCACCCUCCAGCUGCAGAGUCCUAAGACUGAAAAUAAAAAAGUUUUUCAGCCAGAGACAUGACUUCAGAGCUGUUGCCUUGCCUUACCCUGAAGCUGGUGCUCCGUGCUCCCAGGUAGUGUAAGGUGGUGCUUACAGCCUCCAGGGGGAAACCAGCAGACAGAUUUAUUCAUCAUUCUCUCUCUCUCUCUCUCUCCCCCCACUAGACCGGCUGGUGGCCUUUCCUACUCGAGUAGCAGGUGGAAUCGGAGUCACCUGCUGGAUUUUAGUCUGCAACAAAGUCGUGGCUAUCAUUCUCCACCCUUUCAGCUGAGGGGAGGCCAGCCACAGCCUUUACCCGAGAAUUCUGUUAGGUGAAGAGCGGAUUGCGCACAAGGCCACAGAUUGUUGUUUUUUGUGUUCUGGAGUACGAUUGCUUUUGUGUGUCACCUGGGAUUCUUGUUGAAGUCAGGAUUUCCUAUACUCGCCAUUGAGCCAGAAAGACCAGUUACGUACGGCAUUCCCGCACUGUCUGACGUCUGACGUAACUCUGGAUCCUUACCGACUGGGAACCACCACGUGGCAUCUGCUGGUGCUUGUUCCGCAGUGAAAGUCACACUUGUAACAGCUCCGAUAGUGCCGUUUCUAACUUUAGAAAAACCCACACUUUUGUACCACUACUAAACCUCCUUUUUAUCUCACAGUUGCCGAGAGUGACACAUACUAGUGGAUGUCACUCUGCUGUACCCUGUUGAAAUGCCACACUUCAGUGUGUGAAAAGUAUCGACGUUUGUCUAAGCUUGUUAAUUUUUCAUAGUUGCUCCUACAUGUGUUCACGAGCCUACGUAUAUUUUAUUUAAAGCAUUUCAAUGAAGUCUGUCUUU
rnacentral:lncRNA from 1 species